UACGGAGGGUGCAAGCGUUAAUCGGAAUUACUGGGCGUAAAGCGUGCGUAGGCGGUUCGUUAAGUCUGUUGUGAAAGCCCCGGGCUCAACCUGGGAAUGGCAAUGGAUACUGGCGAGCUAGAGUGUGUCAGAGGAUGGUGGAAUUCCCGGUGUAGCGGUGAAAUUCGUAGAGAUCGGGAGGAACAUCAGUGGCGAAGGCGGCCAUCUGGGACAACACUGACGCUGAGGCACGAAAGCGUGGGGAGCAAACAGG
rnacentral:rRNA from 1 species